rnacentral:rRNA from 1 species
AAACCCAAUCAAACUCUGAAUGCCAAUGACAGAUGUCCGGGAGUCAGGCAGCGGGAGAUAAGUUCCGUUGCCGAAAGGGAAAGAGCCCAGAUCGUCAGCUAAGGUCCCAAAGUCCGAACUCAGUGUCAAAGGAUGUGGAAACGCUUUGACAACCAGGAGGUUGGCUUAGAAGCAGCCAUCCUUUAAAGAAAGCGUAAUAGCUCACUGGUCAAGCGAGUCUGCGCCGAAAAUAUAACGGGGCUUAAGUUCGGCACCGAAGCUACGGGUUCUCGUAAGAGAGCGGUAGAGGAGCAUUGUGAGGCAGAUACAUGUCGGACGGAAACGACCGAUUCAGGGCCUCAGAAGAGCUUAUGCAGGCAUGAGUAGCGAUAAACCGAGUGAGAAACUCGGUCGCCGUAAGCCCAAGGUUUCCCGGGCAAGGAUAAUCCUCCCGGGGUUAGUCGGUACCUAAGCCGAGGCCGAAAGGCGUAGGUGAUGGAAAGCAGGCAAAUAUUCUGCACCGCCAUGGUUGGCG